CACAACCUGGGGCUUGGGUCUGGCAUCUAAACGGGGAAGAGUUUUGUGACACUAAGCCCUCAACCUCUGUGAUCUGAUGCUAUCUCCAGGUAGAUAGUAUCGGAUUAAAACUGAGUGGAAGGACACCCCGCUGUCCUUUGAUGACCAGAAGUGUUCUGUACUGAGUAUGGUAGGAGAAAAACUGUUCGUUUGUUUUUUUCAACUCCCAGAAAUAACUUCUCACCUAUAUGUUCAAAUGAUUUUUCACAUGAGUGCUAAGAAAGUCCAUUGGUGGAAAAGCAGCCUUUUCAAGAAAUGGUGUUGGGGAAACUUGAUUUCCACAUGCAGAAGAAUGAAGGUGGACUCUAUGUCACACCAGGUGCAAAAAUUAACACAAACUGGAUCAAAGACCUAACCCCAAGUGCUGAAAGUAUAAUAUGCCUAAAAGAAAACAUAGGCCACACUUUCAUGACAUCAGAUUGGGCAAUGCUUUCUGGGAUAUGACACCAAAAGCAUAGGCAACAAAAGAAAAUUAGAUUCCUUGGAUUACAUCUAAAUGACAGACACUUUUGUGCAUCAGCAAACACUGUGAACUGAGUGAAAGGAUAACCCAUGGAUUAGGAAAAAUAUUUGCAAAUCAUAUCUCUGAAAAGAGGCUGAUAGGCAUCGUAUACAUAGAACAGCUAGAACUGAACAACAAGAAACCCAAAGCAUCCCAUUGACAAUGGUCAGAAGACUCGAGUAGACGUGUCCCUAAAGAAGAUAUAGCAAUGGCCAAUAAGCGUCUAAAAUGAUGUUCAAAAUCACUAAUCAUAAGGAAGUGCAAAUCAAACCAAAAUUGUGAUACCACACAUUUGGAUGGAUAUGAUAAACAAACAAGCAUUGGUGAAACUAGAGGGAAGUAGGAAUGCUCGAAUCUGAUUGGAGGGAAUGUAAAACCGUGAAGGAACAGGGAAAAUAGUAUGGCGUGUACCGGAAAAAGUAGAAACAGGAUUAGCGGAUGUUCCCGCAGUUGCACUUGUGGGUACCUGCCAAAAAGAAUUAGAAGCCAGGAGUGGAAGAGAGAUUCGUACACCCAAAUUCAUAGCAGCAGUAUUCACAACAGCCAAAAUGUGGAAGCAACCCAAGGGUUCGUGGACAGAUGAACGAAAAAGUGCACUGCAGUUCAUUCAUGCGAUGGAAGACUUUUCAGCCUUAAAAAGGCAGGCACUUCUGGCCGGUGCGGUGGCUCACGCCUGUAAUCCCAGCAUCUUGGAAGACUGAGGUGGGCGGAUCACCUGAGUUCAGGAAUUCAAGACCAGCCUGGCCAUUCUUGGUGAAACCCUGUCUCUACUGAAAAUGCAAAAAAUUAGACGAUCGUGGUGGCGUGUGCCUAUAUUCCCAGCUACUCGGGAGGCUGAGGCACAAGAAUCGCUGGAACCCGGGAGGCGGAGGUUGCAGUGAGCCCAGAUUGUGCCACUGCACUCCAGCCUGUGCGACAGAGUGAGACCCCAUGUGAACACAAAACCAAACCAAACCAAACCAAACCAAAAGAAAAAAGAAAACAUCCAAACACCCAAACAGCCAGACAGGCACUUCUGACACAGGCUGCAACACGGAUGAACCUUGAAGACAUUCUCGUCAGUGAAAUAAAUAAAUCCCAAAAGGAUAAAGACGACCAGGCUCAGUGGCUCGCACCUGUAACCCCAGAACUUUGGGAGGCUGAGGCAGGCGGAUCACUGAAGGUCAGGAGUUCAAGACCAGCCUGGCCAAUAUGGUGAAAGCUCGUCUCUAUUAAAAAUACAACAAUUAGCUGGGCGUGGUGGUGCAUGCCUGUAAUCCCAGCCACUCAGGAGACUGAGACAAAAGAAUCGCUUGAACUCACGAUGUGGAGGUUGCAGUCAGCUGAGACCACGCCACUGCACUCCAGCCUGGGCGACAGAGAAAGACUCUGUCUCCAAAACAAACAAACCAGAAAAAUUAAACACGCUCUGAUUCCACUUAUAUCACGUGUCUAGAGUAGUUAAACUUAUACAGUUGCAAAAUAGAAUGGUGGCCCCCAGGGGUGGGCGAGAGAGAGAGGAAUGGAGAGUUUGGUUAAUGGGUGCAAUUUCCAUUUUCAAGGAUAAAACUGUUCUGGAGAGGAUGGCGGUGAUGGUUGCUAAACAAUGUGAAUGUACCUAAUGUGAUUAAACUGUAAACUGAAAAAGAGUGGAAAUUGUAAAUGUUUAUACUGGCCAUUCUAUAUGAAAUAAUCUACAUUUAUAAUUUUUAACAUUUCUACAUGGUAUAUUUUCCCAUAAUAAAAGAUGAAAAUUAAAGCACUUGGAUCUUGUAAAAGAAAGGAAAGAAGCGAAUAAUACACACAAGGUCUCUCCUGAUUAGAGGAAGAGCUCCAGAGCUUCUAUGGACACUCAUUUUCCUCUUCUUCUUGCAUGAUGAUGAGGAAAUCCUUAGAGCUUGGGGAACUUGGGGGACUCUGGCUAAUGAGGAGCUCUGUGCUUGAGCCCCCCACGCCAUAGAAUAGUAAAUACUCUGUGCCUCCAGCCCUGCAGUAUGAGGUUGCAGUCCUGUGGGCUCCACCCCCGUCACCCGUAUCAGGAGGCUCAUAUCUCACCCUCCCUUCUGGCCGGCCUUGAGGACGGAGUCUGAGCCUCCAAUGUGCACCAUGCAGGGAGGACAGUGGACCUGUUCUCCGUGGUCAUGGCCCAGCAGAGGGGAAGGGCAGUUCAGUGAGUGCUGAGGGACCGUCGGGAGCCUUGUUUGUUUCCUCAUCCUCAGGACAAACAGGAGAGUGCCGUGGGCAGAUGGGAGGAGACCAAUGUGCAAACUGUCAGCUCAGCAGACUGUGGAGUUUCAGUUCUUGGUUGUGGUGGGGGGUCUCUCUCAGGAAUCUUCUUCAAAAUUUUGCUUCCCUCCCCCACUGGUUGUCCUUUUCAUAGACAUCUCACCCACGAUAGCAGGGAAUGAGUCCCUCUAAACUAUUCCCUUGGAACAACAAAAAGAUGAUGAAGGUGAUGAUGAGGAUAAAGAGGAU
rnacentral:lncRNA from 10 species